CUGGGUGGCUUUGCUGGCUCAGGGGCUUCGGCACCCGGUGACACAGGCCGAGCCCAGGGAGCCGCCCGUCCCCGUGGAGGGAUGAGGCUUGCCCCCUGGGCCUGGGCACCCUGCCGUCCCCAUUCCUCCCAGUCCCCUCGUGGCUGCAUUGCUCUCUUUCCGCUGUGGCUGUGACCUGUUUUUCCUUCCUCGAAGUCUCUCCUGCGUUUUCUGAAGGCACGCCUGGCUUGGACUGGCAGUCACAGGAACACUUCUGCUUCCUGAGAGAAACUUCCAAACUCAAGUACCCAAGAAGACCUGAUGAGGAACUUAUUUUAGACUUAGUGGGAAAAUUCCAAAAGACAUGAGAGAAGGUGCUUAUGACUCUCAUGCCCCUCCUCUCAAUGCUGAAAUCUGACCUAACCCUAGUGCCAUGAUCAAGAAGAGGAAAGUGGCUUUGGGACAGCAGGAUAAACUCAACUGCAGAAUUUAUGGCCAAUUCACAACUACCCACUGCCAGCUGAGCUGUCUGUUUUGGCCUCCCAUCACUUCAUCUGGCUUCUGCUGUUUUGACUGGGAAGUUGGUCCCCUGGGGGUCAGGCGAGUGACAAAGGUUAUUCCUCGGAAAGUGCCCUUUCUCCCUGUCUCUCUCUCUGUGUUUUUUUCUUUUUCUCUUUUGCCCUGUCUGCACGCUUCUCAGACCUUGGGUUGGCUGUCAGCACAUUUCCUCUGGUGGUCUUUGAUGGAUAUUCUCCAUUGUGACGCCUCAGGGGGUUCUUCUUGCAGUCCACAGCAUGGCUUUGGGGUCAUGGUCAGUCUGGGAAUCUCCAAAUACUGUCUCAGAAACACACUCUCUCCAUCUUUUUUUGCCACAUCCCAAUCCUCCAGGUGUCCGACGUGAUCUUUCUCUUCUCCGUGCUUGUGCUGUCUCUUCAGUAUUUUCCAUGAUCCUGUGCUCCUAUGCUAGGGUGCAUGCAUUCUAUCCCAGUGGAUUCAGUUUUCCUUCAGCUGUGCCUCACCUGUGUAUUGCCUAGUCUCUUCAAAACUCAUUGUCAUGGACUAAAGAGGUGUGUAGCUCGGGGGGCUUAGGAGAGGUAUUGGCAUGCUUUUAAUAAUACAAGUGGUCCUAGAUGGAGGAUUUAAGAAACAAGAAGAAUGGUGGACAAAGAAAAUGUUUAAAUGUGUGUAAAUAGAAAAUAAUAUUGACAGUGGAACAAAAUAGCAGAAAUGACUGACAGCAUUUAAAAAGACAAUGAAGGGGCUGGCCUGGUGGCAUAUUGGUUAAGUUCGUCUGCUCUGCUUCAGCGGCUCAGGGUUCACAGGUUCAGAUCCCAGGUGUGAACCUACACACCGUUCAUCAAGCCAUGCUGUGGUGGCAAAAUAGAGGAAGACUGGCACAUACAAAAUAGAGGAAGAUUAGCACAGAUGUUAGUUCAGCAACAAUCUUCCUCCAGCAAAAAGAGAAAGAUUGGCAACAGAUGUUAGCUCAAAGUUAAUCUUCCUCAACAAAAAGUAUACCUUAAUAAAAACAAGAGGGGCCUGCCCCAUGGCCAAGUGGUUAAGUUCAUGCGCUCUGCUUCGGCGGCCCUGAGUUUCACCAGUUCGGAUCCUGGGCCCGGACGUGGCACCAUUCAUCGGGCCAUGCUGAGGUGGCAUCCCACAUGCCACAACUGGAGGGACCCACAGGUGUGUUCUGGGGAGGUCAUGACAUCCUGGUGCACUCCCAGCUGCUGCUUUUGGACACAGUAACAAUGCAGGUGACAGCCAGAAGUUCGGAGGAGCUGCCCGUAGACAUCAUCUUGGCAUGUGUGGUCUAAGAGGCCAGUCUGAAUAGGCACUACUCCUACUCUUUGCCCCAACACCAUGCAGAACUGAACCCAGUGGAAACUCCUUCCCAAGCCUCUGUAUUCAAAAACAGUUGAAAAGGAAUCACUGAGGAUUUUUUAAAUUAUUAACCCCUGCCCCAGGACUACUCUAUUUUUUUUUCUUAAAAUACAGGAUAAUUUUAGCUUGUCCUAGAACUUGCCCUGCCAGGGAAAGGACAUCACAAAUUAAAAAAAUGCUUGCACCUCCUCUUGAAUUUAUCCCCAAAGAAACUAUCUUAUCCCUAUAAAUAAAUUAGCAUCUAUUUAUUGAAUAACUGCAGACUCAUGUUUAGUUUACUCACAUUGACUGCAGACUCCACCUUCCCCUUCGAGGCCUCUCCACCACCAAGA
ensembl:lncRNA